rnacentral:rRNA from 1 species
CACGUAGGGGGCGAGCGUUGUCCGGAUUUAUUGGGCGUAAAGAGCUCGUAGGCGGCUCAGUAAGUCAGGUGUGAAAACUCCAGGCUCAACCUGGAGACGCCACCUGAUACUGCUGUGGCUAGAGUCCGGUAGGGGAGCAUGGAAUUCCUGGUGUAGCGGUGAAAUGCGCAGAUAUCGGGAGGAGCACCAAUGGCGAAGGCAGCUCGCUGGGACGGUACUGACGCUGAGACGCGAAAGCUAGGGGAGCAAACAGG